rnacentral:rRNA from 1 species
GCCUAAAGCGUCCGUAGCCUGCUUUGUAAGUUUCCGGUUAAAUCCAUUAGCUCAACUAAUGGGCCGCCGGAAAAACUGCAAAGCUAGGGAGUGGGAGAGGUAGACGGUACUCGGUAGGAAGGGGUAAAAUCCUUUGAUCUAUUGAUGACCACCAGUGGCGAAGGCGGUCUACCAGAACACGUUCGACGGUGAGGGAUGAAAGCUGGGGGAGCAAACCGGAUUAGAUACCCGGGUAGUCCCAGCUGUAAACUAUGCAAACUCAGUGAUGCAUUGGCUUGUGGCCAGUGCAGUGCCGCAGAGAAGUCGUUAAGUUUGCCGCCUGGGAAGUACGUACGCAAGUAUGAAACUUAAAGGAAUUGGCGGGGGAGCACCACAAGGGGUGAAGCCUGCGGUUUAAUUGGAGUCAACGCCAGAAAUCUUACCCGGAGAGACAGCAGGAUGAAGGUCAAGCUGAAGACUUUACCAGACAAGCUGAGAAGUGGUGCAUGGCCGUCGCCAGCUCGUGCCGUGAGGUGUCCUGUUAAGUCAGGUAACGAGCGAGAUCCUUGCCUCUAGUUGCCACCAUUACUCUCAGGAGUAGUGGGGCGAAUUAGCGGGACUGCCGUAGUUAAUACGGAGGAAGGAGAGGGCCACGGCAGGUCAGUAUGCCCCGAA